UACGAAGGUGGCAAGCGUUGUUCGGAUUUACUGGGCGUAAAGCGUGCGCAGGCGGUGAUGUAAGACCGAUGUGAAAUCCCCGGGCUUAACCUGGGAACUGCAUUGGUGACUGCAUCGCUCGAGUAUGGCAGAGGGGGGUAGAAUUCCACGUGUAGCAGUGAAAUGCGUAGAGAUGUGGAGGAAUACCGAUGGCGAAGGCAGCCCCCUGGGUCAAUACUGACGCUCAUGCACGAAAGCGUGGGGAGCAAACAGG
rnacentral:rRNA from 1 species